AUAAAGGAUCUCCAGUUGGUGAACCAGCGGAGGGAUCAUUA
rnacentral:rRNA from 1 species